rnacentral:rRNA from 1 species
UACAGAGGUCUCAAGCGUUGUUCGGAUUCAUUGGGCGUAAAGGGUGCGUAGGCGGCGCGGUGAAGUCGGGUGUGAAAUUUCGAAGGCUUAACUUCGAAACUGCAUUCGAUACUGCCGUGCUUGAGGACUGGAGAGGAGACUGGAAAUUUACGGUGUAGCGGUGAAAUGCGUAGAUAUCGUGAAGGAAGACCCAGUGGCGAAGGCGGGUCUCUGGACAGUUCCAUGA